CCGUCGCUCGAGAUGCGCGGAUGCGUAGCCUACCGCAAUGUUCGAGUUGGUGAUGCUCUCCCUCCACUACUUUCUGUUCUUUUCUCUCUUUCCAUCUUUCUUCUCCCUCGCCUUUUUCUCCUUUUUUACCACCUCUUUACCUCUAUCUCGCUCGCUUCGAGUUUUUUCUUUGCCCUUCGAGUAGAGCUUCGUACUUCUUUCUUUCUUUCUCGCACUUUGCCUUGUUCCGAUGGUUUCGCGAGAGGGAAAGCUAUAUUUUCCGUCUAUUGGGAUAGGACACACGAAGCAGUCUGCAAGCGGCGUUCUCAUGACAUUAACCUUCGUUCGUCGUCGACGUUAGAAACAGCGGGCGGUAACGUGAAAUAUAGGUUGUUUUAACGGGAGUUUUUUCCAGACUAACUUGACGGAUCAGGAGGAAAGAGAACACGUUUUCUCGAUCGUUCCUUCGAGAAUUCGUUCGCAAUAGAAACAACUCUGUCGUCGGGUAAGCGAGACGAGCAAAUUGCUACACAUGUAUAUACACGCAUUCCUACCAACCGUUUCCCUCUAAUCCCUGACAUUGUCUUCUCGAGGAUGAAUUCAACAAGCAACAGCAGGUCUUUGCAACGUAUAGGAAGACUGGGGCGAACAGAAAACGAGACUGGAACGAUUGCGUAUGCAUGGUACAAUAGGUGAACGUGCGUACGAGUUCGUGGCGGAAAGGAACUUCCAAUUCGACGUCUCGUUGCAGCCGGUAAACACAGGUGCAACGAAAACGUCGGAAGUGUUUUUGCAACGGGGCAUACAGAGUGAACCUUGAGAGUGACCGAUUUCGUAAUCCCUUCGCGGCUCGCUUCUCUGGCGUGGUUUCCAUUGUAAUGCUAGUUAAAAAACGAUCUUCGAGAUCGUGUUUGUUGAGGUUAGGUGAGCUUCGAAUUAACACGUAAAUCGUUUCUUACGAUCAAACUGCAUCUGUUUUCCUUUUUCUCGUGAUUCUUGUGUUCUUUUUAAAAGGUAUGAAUAAAUAUUUUCCAUUUUUUUUUUUGAAAUCCGUCAUAUCAGUAUCGUUACAGCGUUUCAUUUUUCAACGAUGUUUAACCUCUUUAACGUUCGUCUACUUGCGUAGUAGGUAUCUAUCUACUAUUCAAAGAGUGAGUGAGUGUGUGUUCGGGAUGUUAUCCUGCCAGGAAGAUUUCAAGAUUUCAUUCUGGAAACGUAACGAGUUGCGGACGAAGGGCUUGUUCAUCAGCUAGAGAUUCUCGAUCCCUUUUCUGAUAAGAGGAAACGGGGUUGACCUUAAUUGCAUUUCCUGCCAUCGAACCUGCGAUUCCAUUGUUGCCGAAAAGCGUUUUUCGCAGACUUCACACGCCACGAUCAACGAUUCCACGGAACAAGGCAAUAAAGAAGCCAUUUUCGAGAAAAUGGUUUUCGAAGACGAUCGAUCGACGAGUUAUCAUUACGAACGUGUCUACGAUGAUUCAUUAAUUACAGAUAACUUUCGGGGAAAAAAGUCUCGCUCGAAUUACGUUAAUCCUGUGUCAAAAGGAACACCGAAAGCAGAAAAAGGGAGGAGGAAGAAAAAGGAAGAGGAGUAGAAGAAGAAGAGGAGGAGUAGGGGGAGCGGCAUUAGGAGGAGGAAACGGAGGGUAGACGAGGAGGACUCGCACGAAGACGAAGAAGAAGAAGAAGAAUCCCCCUUGGCUCACGUCCGCGAGAACCGGAAAGAUUCCCUCGAUCCGCUACGAACGGCUUCCAAGUGUGUUCGGUGAUCGACCGAAGAGAAGAUCGAGCCGAGCCUGGAACGUCAACGCGGAGAGCAUAAGUCAUUGGCGCGGCAUUUACGCUUGGGAAUAAUUCGUUUAUUCUCCGCCGGGGCCGUAAACGUUUUAUCGAGGCCGCAUCUCACGAGGUAGGCGCGCACCUGCGCGCUCCAGACGACGAAGCCACGAGGACGAGGAGGAGGACGAAGUGGAGGAGUUCCUGCUUACCGCGGGAAAUGAAACAUCACGAUUGAAAUCUCCAUCGAGAUUCGCGUGUAUUUUCUCGUUAAGGAAAAUGUUGAAGACAGAUCUCCAAAUCAUCCGUAUCCGUAUGAGCACAUGUUUCUUCGAAAAAAUCGUAUCAAAGGCAAAUCGUAGGAAACUGGCAAGAGAUGCUACGUAUUCCUUUUGUAUUUUCCAAUUCAAACGGAAUGUACACGUAUCGUAUUACCUGGUAAGCCGUUGUCGAACGAACAAUGACGAAAUAAUGGUGCACAAAGAAGAAAACCGAAAUUGAUACAUACGUGUAUAUAUAUAUAUAUAUACACGUAUUACAUGCCAGUUUCCAUUGACACCGAGAUUCCCCUCCUCGAUCGGCGUGGACCGGGCUUAAGAGAGGACCGACACACGACUCUUGUGUGCAAGCGACCAAGGAAACAAGAGGGAGACGGACGGAGGACGAAGAGGAAUGGACGUGGCUAGAUCGUGCGCGAGAGAAGCAACUACCGAGAACACCGACACCUUCCGCGAGUCUUAUUUUUCACAUCCUGCCUCCUCACCGGCGACCUAUUUUUAAGCCGAUGCCCCCUCCACCUCUCCCCCCCCCUCUCUCUCCUCCGCGGGGGAAAAAAACCCUUGGGAAAACGGACCGGACGGGGAACACCUCAACCUACCUCCUCAACCCUACCGGAUCUUUCGAACGCGUAUAGGUUUCUUCUCCGCUAUCUCUUCCCUCCCCUCCCCGCCCCAGCUAGCUCCUCGCUCGCUUAGUUAGCCAGUUAUCGUCCGCUAAAAUGAUCCUAAGGAAUUCGCCACUCCCUCUACCACCGUUUCCGUUUUUGCGAGUGUGACAGAAUGAUGAUAUGACGGGGAGAAACGAUUUUUGUCACAAGUGGAAUAAAAUGGAUUGUAAUUUGUGACGUUUGUUUUUUAGGUGUGUAUGUGUAUAUGAUGAAGAGAGUUUGAGAAAUGAUUCUUUGAAAUGGAUUGGAUUGUCUCUUGUUGAAAGUUGAAGAUUUGAAUUUGAUUGGAACAAUUAUUGCUUUGAAUGAAUGCAUGUUCAACCAAUCACGUUGUCCAAUUAUUCUACAUAACCAAGCUAUAUAACCUAUAACCCGAAGAAUCAGCCUUUCUGGAAAAUGGUUAAAAAAAAAAGAAACGAAGCCACGAUUCGAUUAAAUAGCGAGGGGGUUAAGAGGCGCCAACCGGUAACCGAGGGGAGUCGGUGACUCCUCGCGGCGAUUCCUAGGUAUCCUUGAAAUCGUAUCUCCUGCUCGCAUCCUCGCCGCGUUUGCAUGCCUGCCCGCUCCAACCAUUGACGUCACAACGCGGAGUGCAACGGCGCGGCGAGGCCCGACGAACGUCCGACGAAUUUCAAUCUCUCCCGGAACGAUUUCGAACACGUCGCGCAUUUCCAAGCGGAUAGCAACGAUGCGCGGGGCAACGAAAGAGGAGAACAGCCGGUGGCCCCAGGCGAGGGAAGGGAGGAGGGCUCCUCCUCCUCCUCUUUUUUCGUUCGAGCAAAAAUACGCUUCAUUUGUGUCACGGCACGCUGCGUCAUCCGAGCGCGGUUAAAAGUGACUCAGGUUUUAUUUCCUGCUUCGAGUUCUAGUUACUUACUACGACAGAUAGCGCGAAUCGAUAACACUUAUCCUCUGCACGGGUCGAAACAAACCCUGGAAGAACGUUCAACCGAGGCUUGCAACACGCGGCUCUAUCGCUUCAUCGAGUUCUUGGGCCGAUCAUCGGUCUUUUCUCUUCCACGAAUGGGAGGGCAUCGUUUUUGACAGCUCCCUAUGUAAUUUUAAGCGAAUUAAAUUUUCGAUUAAGAGAUUAGAGAAGUUAGAAUUUGAUUUUGGAGAUUUUUUUAUAAGAGAAUAUGUAAUUUAUUUAUACUUCAUCAUGAUAACAUUGAUUUGUAUCUAUGUACAGAGUAGAAUAGAAAAGACAAGGUUAACUGUGUGAGGAUUAACAAUUAAUCCCAAACAAUUAUAUGUAUGAAGGUACUAAAUAUAUCUGCAACUUUAUUAUUUGUUUUUGACACCGAUCUCUAUGUAUUUUAAGAAUUAUGAUAUCAAAGUGUCAAAAUAUGUGAAGAGAUAAAUCACGUUUAUUUUUUAUUGCUACUUUAUAAACGUAAACAUAAAGAUUUUGACACUAGAGAUAUCUAUCGCGGAAAAUACUUAUAUUUUAAAGUAGUAAUUGAAUUCUAAAAGCUACGACUUCAAGAGAGAAAAAUUAUUGAACGAGAUUCGAUUGACCGUGCGCGAUAAAUUCUACUGUUAAGGGAACGAUCUGGUAUCGUAAUCUGAAAAGAGACGAUUGUUUUUGUCUGUUUUUCGAGGUUGAAAUCGAGAGGAAAAUCCACGAAGCAAUAUUCUCGCGGCAUUUCGAGCUACAAUGUAUUAUCGCCUCGAUUCGCGACGAUGUUUGUUCGUCGAUGUUUCCCUCGUUGGUUGAAAAACUGUGGCGAUAAAGUUGCGCCGGUAAUUCGAAGAUAAACAUCGCGACGAGAGUCGUGCUUACGUAAUAAAAACUCGCGUGUUUGUUUAUUGAUUGCAUUUUUUCUUUUUUUUUGAAAAUAUGAGAUCGAUCUCCGAUGAAAACUUCGAUGAAAGUGAAAUUCACUUUUGAGAAAUUUAUACGAAAAAACAAAGUCGAGGGAACACUCUUAAAAAUCUUUCGAUUUAAAUUUCGCGCGAAAAAAAGAAGGAAUUUUUAAUCGAUAUAUUUACGAAUGACACACAGAUCGAAUAAAUUAAUACAUCACUGCGUAAUUAAAUAUCCGCCAUUACUGUUCGUUGAUCAAUCGAGAUUGAAAAGAUCUCGAUAUGAAUUAUCGAGAGUAAUAUCGAGAGUCUUCGAGAGAUCGAACUCGAGUAAAAUUACUCAUGGAGUCAAAUCAACUCCUAUUUUCCCAAUUGUUAAAAAUAUUUUAUACAUUAAAACGCGUUUUAAAAUAUAUCUAAAUUUCAGAUUACUAAUUCCAUGUGCAAAUAUCACUCGUUUCGAGAAAAAAAAUCUCCUUUACGUCAAGCAUCGGAAAAAAAAAGUAUUCCAAACAAGUGCAUCGUGAAACGAGGCGAGCAGUGGUCGCCAUGAUAGGUCCGAAGUGGCACACGACACAUUUGACGGGCCGAUCUUGACGUGGAAAUAAGCAGAUACCUAUUCAAACGUGGUGUGUAAAUCGAAAGUGAUUCGAUCGAGAUCACCGACUACCGUAUGCAUAGACGCAUCUACACGCACAUCUAAAUCCCGUGUACGCGAUACACACACACACGCGAGUCUGUUUAAGGAGAUAGUAGUGGCAAGCGUGCAGGUAGGCGCUCGCACGAGACGACGUUUCGGGUCGGGAAACGAAUCGCUCGCGCGCGUGAUCCUCCGUUUCCAUUAGUGCACGCACGUGCAACACAACUCGCUACGUGUUACUUACAUACGUGUGCACACGCGGGCAAGCGAGCGAGCGAGCGAGCGAGCAGUUCGUUCGCCACGCUAGCCCUGGCCUAGAUAAGCUACUUGGCUUUGCAUCGUUGCAUCGCUUUAAGCCCGACUCACGCGCCACCGAUCUAUCGCCGUCCUUUUCCCGCCAUUCGUUACGUCGUGCGUCCAUGCUUCUCCCUCUGGCAUUAUCUCUAACAUUAACAUAAGACGGGAGUGUACGAGUGUCUGGGCUGCUGCUGAUAUUCAUCAUCGCGGGAGCCUACGUGGACCGUGAAACAGCGGAAGUCUGCGAAGGAUCGCGGCGGACGCGUAGGUAUGCUAAAAGCGGAUUACGCCGGUAACAUGCAGGAUUUUCUUUUCAUCGCCUGGCCAUCGUUUUAAUCGCGAUAUGAAUUUAUUACGAAAAUAGGGGAUAUAAAUGGCUAUAUCCCCACCGGGGAUAAAUUCUGUUGAGAACGACGCUAAUAGCUUGCCAUCUCUUAUCCACGGUUAUUCCAUUAAACAAACAAGCGGAUAAUUUGACAUGCGGAUUCGAUGCGCGUUUAGCUGCGAGAUAGCUUUUACCGACCGAGCCCGACUACUACGCGAUCCGUUCGUUUCACCCAGCCGCGUGGUAUAAAAGUGUAAAAGGGCGCAACUCCACCGAGACCGAGCCAUAAGUACAAUUCUAUAUAAAUUCCAACAUCUUUUGUUUGCAAUCUUUUAAUCAAUUCGUACUCGAAUAAUUUAAACGUAAUUUAAACUAUCGGAUUUAUUCGGACGUUGAGCGUUUUUGGAUAUAAAAUUCUUCAAUAUUAUCAAUUUGUCUAGAAAAAAAGAAAAUUCUCCAACGAUAUUAAUUUCCAUUAAUUCUACCAUUAUUUCGAAAUAAACCUGUCGAACAAUUUAUAUCCAAUUUGGUUUAAACGAAAUAGAGAAGAGAGGAUCUUAUCUCGGGGAAGGCGAUAUCUAAUCUGCAACCUUAGCCUUACCAGCCGAUACCCGCAUCGGUUUCCUUUUGUUUUGACGGGGUAAUUAAGAAAACUUUCCGUUUCCUCCUCCUGCGAGCAGCAGCAGGCCUCGAUAAUCGGUAUCGAAAAACGAGAGAACGAGUUCUUAGGGGGAGGCCCCAACAGUUUGAGAGAAACAUUUCGCGCGUUCCUUCGAUACAUCCUGCGAUAUAUAUAUACCGCUUCCGUUCCGAUAAUUCCCUCGAGAGGAACGGUUUGCAUUGGUGGUUGAAAAACGGACUUGAUAAAGCGUCAUACAUUAAAUUCAAUCCCUUUCCUAAAAAAGAACACCGACUUUAUUAUACAAUAUAUAAAUCCUCGCUCAAAUAAACUAACAAAUAAAAAAGUCCAAAUACAAUAGAAUACACGAGAGAAACUGAAUAAAACGAAGAAUUGGAUCCCGAAAAUAUAAAAGGAAGGAAGGAAGGA